UACGUAGGGUGCAAGCGUUGUCCGGAAUUAUUGGGCGUAAAGAGCUCGUAGGCGGUUUGUUGCGUCGGCUGUGAAAAUCCCGAGGCUCAACCUCGGGUCUGCAGUCGAUACGAGCAAACUAGAGUGUUGCAGGGGGAGACUGGAAUUCCUGGUGUAGCGGUGAAAUGCGCAGAUAUCAGGAGGAACACCGGUGGCGAAGGCGGGUCUCUGGGCAACAACUGACGCUGGAGGAGCGAAAGCGUGGGGAGCGAACAGG
rnacentral:rRNA from 1 species